rnacentral:lncRNA from 1 species
UGACCGAUAUAAAUACCCAUCUUAACCUGAAAUCAACCUUUUAAAACCCUAAUUCUCUCUCUCUUCCUCUCAAUCCUCUCCCUUCUUCUUCUUUUUUUUCUUCUGCUUCUUCUCCUCCUGCGCCACCGUCCCUUCUCUUUUUUUCCUUCCUUUCUUUCUUCUUCUUCUUCUCCGCCUCCGGCAACGGCGGCACUACCGCCGACUCUUCUUUUUCUCCUUUUCUUCUUCUUUCACCACUUCUCUGGCUCUCCUUUCGGUCUUGGUCCCGACGACGGCGGUGGCAGCGACGUCGCCCGCCACCGCCAUUCUCAUUUCCAUUCCGAUGACAACCAACAGCGGCAGCGGGCUCGCCGCCUCUCCCUCAACGGUAACAGAAAAAGAAGGUAAAACAAACUUAGAUCUGCCUCUCUAUCUAUCCUUCUAUUUUCUUGGUUUAACCCGAUUCGGGUUUGCAUGUCAUCGGGGACGCUUCCGGUAAAUCCUCCGACGACAUGCAAGUCCCGAUCUACGGAUCCGGGGUUUGAAUGAUACUUCUAUUCUUUUUUCUGACUUGUUUUUCGUUUCUUUUCUCUUUUGGGUUGGGAUUCGAUGGAGAGAAAAAGGGGAUUGUAGUGUCUUCCGGCGAUACAGUCGACGACAGCGGAGAGGAGGCGGACAAGGGGAUGGCGAUGAAAGGGGAGACGGUGACCUAACUCACCAGAGGAAAUUGAAAAAGUCCGAAUAAAAGAGGAGACAACCUUUAGGAAGGUAAAACAUCUAAACUCUAAUUGUUCUGAUUUUGCUCGGUAGAUAGAAGCGACUUUGUCCUUGGAUGAUUAGGUUUGGUAAAAUAUGAAAACUUACUAUCUUACUUAUUAAGACUAAACUGGUAAUCUAAAUGUUGUGAAAAUGACUUUUCGUUUGAAAAACUGAUUAUUUUGUCACUUUUAUGAAAAUUUCAGCAAUAACAUUUAACAAAAAGCACUUGUUGUAGCUCGAUUUUUAUAGGUAGUCUUGUAGUUCUUGAGUUCUUGGUAUAAACUGUAUGAAAAUGAUAAUAUGAGGAUGCUUAAUCCACUGUUAAUAUGUUUUUCCAGCAGUCAUUUUUGAACGAAAAGUAUUAUUUUACUUUCAAAUUCAUUGUUUGCAUAAGUUGGCUAUUUAACCAUUUAGUAGUUGUGAAUAUCAAGUUAGGAGCAGUUUAAGUGGUAACAAAACAGUCAAUAUAGCAUAAAAACCUAGGAAGUGCAUUGAUAAGUGUUGAAACAGAAUAUGAAUGAUCAUGAAUCGGAAAAGGGUUCGUUUGGGAGCACCGACCUUUUAAAAUUAGCGUUGGUCUUCAAAGUUUCAGUAGUGUGGACUAAACUUCUAUUUCUUAUUCCAGAAAUUUCGGGAAUUCAAUGGGUCUCUGGAGUCUGACGGAAGCGCCUCCUCUGGCGGAUUCAACAAAUUUUAAUCUUUGUAUCUUUUCUCUGUUCUGUUUUUUUUUUGUUUCUUUUUGGGAUUGUAAUGGGUUGUUGUUGUUUUGUUAUAGGUUUAGUGAGACUGGGGGUGUUGUGAAUUCAGGGUGUAAUGAGAUUUGAUAUUUUGGGGGAGAACUGAGGGAAUUUUCGUUGUAACAGGUAGAUAUUUUCUUCUUCGUUUUAUCCCUCCUCGAAAGAAAAUUGGUUGUUCUUUUAAAUGGAAAAAGGGUUACCACCCCAUAUCUUCCAAUCUAAAUUGAACACCAAUCACUGAGGUGGCUGCGUCUUAGAGAAUAACAGAAAUCGGGUAUGAAAUUGGGCCUGGAAUCGGAUCUAAAAAACCCACGUAAAAUAGAGCUACGAAAUAAAUAAAAAACUCGAGGACUCAGACA